rnacentral:tRNA from 1 species
GGGAUGCAGCUCAGUGGUACAGUGUGAGCUUGGCAUGCGCAAGGCCCUGGCUUCUAUCCCCAGCACCUACCA